AGCAAACCUAUAAAGCAAAGAUUUUUAUGAGUGCUUGAAAAUGGCACAUGAUGUAAAGUGCUUAUGCACUUAGAUGCUUGGGGUUGAUUUUGGCUUUAGUUUUCUCCAAAACUAUACAGUAGAAAUAUUUGAAACUUAAUACAGUAAUGGUCAGAUUGACUGUAAACAGAAAUAAACUGAAAGAACGAGCAAACCUAUAAAGCAAAGAUUUUUAUGAGUGGUUGAAUAUGGGACAUGAUGCAAAGUGCGUAUGCACUUAGAUGCUUGGGGUUGAUUUUGGCUUCAGUUUUCUCCAAAACUAUACAGUAGAAAUAUUUGAAACUUAAUACAGUAAUGGUCAGAUUGACUGUAAACAGAAAUAAACUGAAAGAACGAGCAAACCUAUAAAGCAAAGAUUUUUAUGAGUGCUUGCAAAUGGCACAUGAUGCAAAGUGCUUAUGCACUUAGAUGCUUGAGGUUGAUUUUGGCUUUAGUUUUCUCCAAAACUAUACAGUAGAAAUAUUUGAAACUUAAUACAGUAAUGGACAGAUUGACUGUAAACAGAAAUAAACUGAAAGAACGAGCAAACCUAUAAAGCAAAGAUUUUUAUGAGUGCUUGAAAAUGGCACAUGAUGCAAAGUGCUUAUGCACUUAGAUGCUUGAGGUUGAUUUUGGCUUCAGUUUUCUCCAAAACUAUACAGUAGAAAUAUUUGAAACUUAAUACAGUAAUGGUCAGAUUGACUGUAAACAGAAAUAAACUGAAAGAACGAGCAAACCUAUAAAGCAAAGAUUUUUAUGAGUGCUUGAAAAUGGCACAUGAUGUAAAGUGCUUAUGCACUUAGAUGCUUGGGGUUGAUUUUGGCUUCAGUUUUCUCCAAAACUAUACAGUAGAAAUAUUUGAAACUUAAUACAGUAAUAGUCAGAUUGACUGUAAACAGAAA